rnacentral:rRNA from 1 species
GAUGAACGCUGGCGGCGUGCCUAAUACAUGCAAGUCGAGCGAACAGAUGAGGAGCUUGCUCCUCUGACGUUAGCGGCGGACGGGUGAGUAACACGUGGAUAACCUACCUAUAAGACUGGGAUAACUUCGGGAAACCGGAGCCAAUACCGGAUAAUAUAUUGAACCGCAUGGUUCAAUAGUGAAAGACGGUUUUGCUGUCACUUAUAGAUGGAUCCGCGCCGCAUUAGCUAGUUGGUAAGGUAACGGCUUACCAAGGCAACGAUGCGUAGCCGACCUGAGAGGGUGAUCGGCCACACUGGAACUGAGACACGGUCCAGACUCCUACGGGAGGCAGCAGUAGGGAAUCUUCCGCGAUGGGCGAAAGCCUGACGGAGCAACGCCGCGUGGGUGAUGAAGGUCUUCGGAUCGUAAAACUCUGUUAUUAGGGAAGAACAAAUUUGUAAGUAACUAUGCACGUCUUGACGGUACCUAAUCAGAAAGCCACGGCUAACUACGUG